UACGUAGGGUGCAAGCGUUAAUCGGAAUUACUGGGCGUAAAGCGUGCGCAGGCGGUUUUGCAAGACCGAUGUGAAAUCCCCGGGCUUAACCUGGGAAUGGCAUUGGUGACUGCACGGCUAGAGUGUGUCAGAGGGGGGUAGAAUUCCACGUGUAGCAGUGAAAUGCGUAGAGAUGUGGAGGAAUACCGAUGGCGAAGGCAGCCCCCUGGGAUAUCACUGACGCUCAUGCACGAAAGCGUGGGGAGCAAACAGG
rnacentral:rRNA from 1 species